rnacentral:rRNA from 1 species
GCCGUAGGGCGCGAAUGUUGUCCGGACUCACUGGGCGUAAAGGGCGCGCAGGCGGUAGCGUGCGUCGGUGCUGAAAGCGCCCCGCUUAACGGGGCGAGGCGUGCCGAUACCACGCAACUGGAGGCAGGCAGAGGGUGGCGGAAUUCAGGGUGUAGUGGCGAAAUGCGUAGAGACCCGGAGGAACGCCGGUGGCGCAAGCGGCCACCUGGGCCUGUCCUGACGCUGAGGCGCGAAAGCGUGGGGAGCGAACCGG